GAUGAACGCUGGCGGCGUGGAUAAGGCAUGCAAGUCGAGGGAGCUCUUCGGAGCGACCGGCAAACGGGGUAGUAACAGGUAGGAACAUACCCAGAAGUCAGGAAUAGCCACGGGAAACCGUGAUUAAUACCUGAUAGUCCCGCAAGGGUAAAGAUUUUUCGCUUCUGGAAUGGCCUGCUUCGUAUCAGCUUGUUGGUGAGGUAAAGGCUCACCAAGGCUAUGACGCGUAGGGGAGGUGAGAGCCUGACCCCCACCACUCGCACUGAGACACUGGCGAGACACCUACGGGUGGCUGCAGUCGAGAAUCUUCCGCAAUGCGCGAAAGCGUGACGGAGCGACGCCGCGUGGUUGACGACGCACUUCGGUGUGUAAAAACCUUUUAUGAGGGAGGAAGUUUAUUGACGUUACCUCAUGAAUAAGGGGUUGCUAAACUCG
rnacentral:rRNA from 1 species